UAACAGCUCAAAUUUGAAAUCUGGCUCCUCUGGAGUCCGAAUUGUAAUUUGUAGAAGAUGCUUUGGGUUGUGGGUUCGGCCUAAGUUCCUUGGAACAGGACGUCAUAGAGGGUGAGAAUCCCGUAUGUGGCCGAGGCCCGCGCCUAUGUAAAGCUCUUUCAACGAGUCGAGUUGUUUGGGAAUGCAGCUCAAAAUGGGUGGUAAAUUUCAUCUAAAGCUAAAUAUGGGCCAGAGACCGAUAGCGCACAAGUAGAGUGAUCGAAAGAUGAAAAGCACUUUGGAAAGAGAGUUAAACAGUACGUGAAAUUGUUGAAAGGGAAGCGCUUGCACCCAGACUUGGGCGCUGCUGAUCACCUUGAGGUCUCCUCGAGUGCACUCGACAGCGCACAGGCCAGCAUCGGUUCGGGUGGCUGGAUAAAGGCCGUAGGAACGUAGCUCUCUUCGGGGAGUGUUAUAGCCUACGGUGCCAUGCAGCCCAGCCGGACCGAGGACCGCGCCUUCGGGCUAGGAUGCUGGCGUAAUGGGUGUAAGCGACCCG
rnacentral:rRNA from 1 species